UGUACUGUAUGGUAUCUGCACUCAACAGUUAUUCCUGCUGGUGUGUUCAAAAGACAGAGGGAUAGAAAUUUAGUAUCUGGGGGCUGGGGAGAUGGCUCAGUAGAAUAAGCACUUCCCUGGCAAGCACAAGGGUCUGAAUUCAAUCCUCA
rnacentral:snoRNA from 1 species